rnacentral:tRNA from 19 species
GCGGGAAUAGCUCAGUGGUAGAGCACAACCUUGCCAAGGUUGGGGUCGCGGGUUCGAGCCCCGUUUCCCGCUCCA